CCGCUGGUUUUAUUUUAUUGGUUUCUAAAGCUGGGGUAAUGAUUAAUAGGGACAGUUGGGGUCGGUCGUAUUGAAUCGUCAGAGGUGAAAUUCUAUGAUUGAUUCAAGACGAACUGGUGCGAAAGCGUCCGACAAGGAUGCCUCCGUUAAUCAAGAACGAAAGUUGGGGGAUCGAAGAUGAUCAGAUACCGUCGUAGUCCUAACCAUAAACUAUGUGGACCAAGGAUCCGAGGAUGUUCCAUGGAUGACUCUCCGGGCACUUUGUGAGAAAUCAUUGAGUAUUUGCAUUCCGGGGGGAGUAUGGCCGCAAGACUGAAACUUAAAGGAAUUGACGGAAGGGCACCACCAGGAGUGGAAUCUGCGGCUUAAUUUGACUCAACACGGGGAAAC
rnacentral:rRNA from 1 species